rnacentral:rRNA from 1 species
UUCCAGCUCCAAAAGCAUAUACUAAAAUUGCUGUAGUUAAAACGCUCGUAGUUUAUACGUAGGAGAUUAUUGAGAUCAUUUGGUGUGGUGAACACUUUCGUACCAUUACAUUCAUUUUAUGGAUCUUGGUAUCGAAAGUGACCUUACGGUUUAUUCGCCACAUCCUUAGGUGACGAGUGGUUAAUAGCCAUAAGUCACAAGUGUGAUCAAUAACUCUGUCCAGGAACCGUGAACAAAUUAAUGUGUUUAAGGCAAGCUCGUGUAUCUAAUACAUAGCUUGAAUAAUUUAGCAUGGAACCACUAUACCCUCCAUUUGGAGGGACCUGGUAAUAAAAGCUCGGCGGAGGACUCUGGUAUUGCGCACUUAGAGGUGAAAUUCCGAUAUUUCCGCAAGACGAACGGAUGCGUAGGCUGUCAUUGCCCAUCACACCUUUAUUGAUCAGGAACGAGAGUCAGGGGAUCGAAGAUG